rnacentral:lncRNA from 1 species
CUACUUAACUGAAGCUUGAGUCGGGGUUCUGCUUUUUUCCAGUCUGCUCCUUGGGCCUUGGAGUCUGCUUGUCUGUCCAGCUUCUCCCUCGGUGCCCACAGCGUGCUUGCCUCUUCAGUGUCAACACCAGGGGGUUUGGAGGAAGAACCUACAGAGUGUUUUUGAUGAUGCUCCUCACCUUAUUUUGUGACUUCACUUUCUGAAGAGAAAGCUCUGGCUUUUGAGGAAUCCACUUGUAGACUGGGCAAGUAAUUUCAGUCAUCAUUUUACUCUUGGUUUGAACUACCUUCU